UACGUAGGCAGCAAGCGUUGUUCGGAAUUACUGGGCGUAAAGAGUGUGUAGGCGGUGUUCUAAGUCUGUUGUGAAAUCUCCCGGCUUAACUGGGAGGGUGCAUUAGAAACUGGAAUGCUAGAGGAUGGGAGAGGUAAGCGGAAUUCCUGGUGUAGCGGUGAAAUGCGCAGAUAUCAGGAGGAACACCGAUGGCGAAGGCAGCUCGCUGGGACGGUACUGACGCUGGAGGCGACGAAAGCGUGGGGAGCAAACAGG
rnacentral:rRNA from 1 species